GGUUAGCACAUUCUUUUAGAAAAUGAAGCAGAUGCUUUUUGGUGCUUUCAACGAGCUAUGCGGAAAUUGAGAGAGAAUUUCAGGUCUGAUGCGAACUCUAUGGGAGUGCAAACUCAGUUGCGUGCCCUUUCAGGAAUUGUUAGAGUUAUUGAUCCAAAGCUUCAUCAACACCUUGGUUGGAAAAUCAUGGAUUGGACCCAAAUGCUGAAAUUGUUCCCAAGGGACCAAUAACUGGGAAAAUCGAUCCACGGGCAAUGCAUGGAACUCCUUAGCAUUGUCUCCAAAAAGUGAUGGUGGCAGUGGUACUCGACCAUCAACUGCAGCUAGCGAUAGAGGGCAUGAACCUGUUCCAAGUUCAUGGGGUUCAAAUUCUAGGCCAUCAUCAGCCUCUAGAGCAUUGUCAUCAAACCAAUCAGCAUUGACAUCAUUACGUCCUCACAAUGCAGAAAC